UGGCCCGGGGCCGCCUGCGGGGGAGAUGGCACAGCAGUCACCCCUGGAGAACAGGACAGGCGGGGAGGAGGGAGCUUCCUCGGAUCGGAUGAGGCAGGGCGCGGGCCGGAGUCACUCCUGGUCGAUUUAGAGGGACUGGAGGCCCCUAGCGGGGCCUUCCCAAAGACCUGGGUGCCUCCUACCCCAGCCGCCAAACCAGGGCGCUUUAUCCCGCGGGCGCCCUCCCUUGGUCCCCCUCACCGGGAUAGAAGAAAAUUCACCACGAAGUGAGCAGUCUCGGCUAGAAUACAGUGGGGUGAUCAUAACUCACUGCAGCCUCGACCUCCUGAGCUCAAACGAUCUUCCUGCCUCAGACCCCCAAGUAACUGGGACUACAGAAGAGGCAACAGGUUCACAAUGGGGCAGUGAAAAGCCAAAAGUAAAACCUAAGCUUUCUACAACUCUGCCUGCUCUUACAAAAGGUGUCCAUUGUGGCUGGACAAGGGAUGUGAAGAAGCCAUUGAUGAGGUUUAAAUAAGAAACUGACCAGGCUGCGUUUGUGGUCUUUAUAAAAUAAUUCUGGAUUUGGAGGAUCAAGUGAGGAAGGAAGGAGGGAGAGGCCUGGCAGGGAGCUGCUGGAAUGAUCAGACUUGAAGAUGGAGGCCCAGAAGGGCUAAUUAACUAGCUCAAGAUUGCACAGUUAGAAAAACUGGAGUCAGGACUUGAACUCAGCACUAGUUUUGGCCAGUGGCUUUUCCCAGGAUAAGGAGUAAGAAGAAACAGAGAACAGGAUGAAGAGAAGAGAAAUAGGAGAGUGAAGUGACCCAGGCAGGAGCCUGUUGUACUCUGCCUGCCUGCAGAACAAAGUUCAAACUCCUUCAUCUGGUAUGCAAAGGUCUCCUUGAUAACAGCUUCUCUUCUGUUAGCUCAUUCCUGGAUCCCUUGCAUUCUAAGCUCUGCAAGGGAAAAUGAUGUCAGAUUCAGGCCUGGGUUCUCCGUACCAGGCAUGGCCCAGGAGAAACCAAGGCUCAGAAUGGACUGGGGCAGCUCCAAACCCCUCCAACAAGGAAGGCCGCAGGCCCAGGGCCGAAAAGAGCAUGUCGCAGAACCUUGUCGCUGGAGAGGAUUAAAAUGGGCCUAGUCGGGCGCCUGUGGUCCCAACUACUGGGGAGGCUGAGGUAGAAGAAUCGCUGGAACCUGGGAGGCAGAGGUUGCAGGGAGGCAGAGGUUGCAGUGAGCCGAGAUCGCGCCUCUGUACUCCAGCUUGGGCGACAGAGUGAGACUCCAUCUCAAUAACAAACAAAAAACAAAAACAAAAAACGCCUGGUAUGGGUGGCCAUUGUCUGUAUUCUAUGUUACUUGUCGGUCCACCUCUCUUCCCCGUCCUGUUCCCCUCCUCUGUGGGUUGCCGGCAUCCCCCCACAGUGAUGUGAAUUUCACCGGAGAAGGGGUUAGAGAUGGACAAGCCCCAGGGUAAAGGCUGCCCAGGGAGGGUCAGGACCAGCAAGAAGUGGGAGGAGGGAAGUGGCGCAGGUUGAAAAGGUGGAAGGGCAGGCCUCUAGGGUUGGGUCCAGUUGAGGAGGCUGCAGAAAGGGAAGUGUUACUGGGCAGUGCAGCUGGUGGACCCGACGGAUAGACACUACCAACCCGAAGUGGAAAGAACAGUUUAUGCUGUGCUUUAUUAAAAUGUGCAUCAUUCUUUUAUUUUAAAA